rnacentral:rRNA from 1 species
UACGAAGGGGGCUAGCGUUGCUCGGAAUCACUGGGCGUAAAGCGCACGUAGGCGGAUUGUUAAGUCUGGGGUGAAAUCCUGGAGCUCAACUCCAGAACUGCCUUUGAUACUGGCGAUCUCGAGUCCGGGAGAGGUGAGUGGAACUGCGAGUGUAGAGGUGAAAUUCGUAGAUAUUCGGAAGAACACCAGUGGCGAAGGCGGCUCACUGGACGACUGUUGACGCUGAGGUGCGAAAGCGUGGGGAGCAAACAGG